GGAGUCUUCUGCCAAGGGCCUUUCAGAAGAGGCGGAGCCUAUCUCUCAUCAGGACCAGUCUGACUGCACCUGCAUCCUUAGCUCAGAGCAUCCCUGGAGCAUCUAAGAGGAAAGCGCAGCUAGCAACCAGGGAUCGUACUGCAGGGGCAAUCGGUCAUGCACCUUCCCCUCCCCUGAUCUGGAGGUCUACAGCCGCGGCCUCGGUACUGACCGAGAUUCCCAAAGUUGUCUGACCUCUGCAAAAGUGUUUCUAUCAACAGCCUCUGAUUACAACAUGGCUGAGAUCACAAAUAUACGCCCCAGCUUUGGGGUGUGCUGGAGAGCUUCGCGUACCUACAAGGAAUACUUGCACUGGUCAGCAUCCUUCUGUGGGCCUGCAAUCCUAACCGACAAGGGCACAGAAGGCAGCUGUGCUCACACGGCUCUGAGAGCUCCCUUCACAGGCACUCCUCUGACCCAAGGAGUAACAACACACAGAACAAGCAGCAAGGCACAACUCCUUUCCUCGGAGGGGCAACUGGACAGCCUUUAACCCUUUAAAAACCAGGGACUGAUUUUCACGGGUUCUGACUUCAGCACUGCAUCAUCCAGGUAAGGCAUAUGGAUAUGAAUUCUAAGACACGUCAUACCAAGGUACAGAAUACACAAACUUAGAAUGUUACUAAAACAAUAACAGAAGGAAAAAGUCAUGCCUACCCCUCGGAGGGCCUCCCUUUGCUGAGUUAACUAAGGAGGAAGCGGCACAGUGUGCCUAGACACGCAAGACCGAGGUUCGCUCCUGAGCCCAGCUCUCCCAGCCUGCACACCCUGAGUGCUCAGUGAAGGUCCUAUGUCAGCCCAAUCUGGGAAGUCACAACUUGCCAUUGAGGGGGGCAAUAGCCUAAUCUCUGCGUGAAAGAGAGGUGAGAUGAGUGAGGGUAGGGGCACCGAUGACCAAGCCACACGUCUCCUGCCGGUUGUUAGAGAACGCAGCGGCAGACACAAAGUCUACUGUGCACCUAGAGAAAAGACUUAGUUUUUGGUUGUGCUGGGGCUGACCCAGCCUUGCCCAUGCUAGAAUGCUAGACAAGUACUCUGCUGCUAAGCUACCUCCACCCCCACCCCCAGCCCCAAUCAUGUUUAAAGCUUCUUCCUCCAAAGCAGCAGCUACAAAUGCGCAGACUGACAGGAAUGGCAGCAGUUGCCUACCCUGGUGAGAUAAGCCUGUGCGAACGCCAGGUCCUUCUGCUCCCUGAGUGGGUCCCGGUCGAGAAUGUCCUCAUCAUACAGCAACAGCAGCUUGGAGGUGUCCUUGCUGGCCCGAGCCCGACUUCCCCGUUUGUUUCGAGCCCGAUGACUGCUCCGUCCCUUUCCAGCAGCUUUGAUGCUCUCCCCUUGGAGUAGUGAAAAAGAUUCCUUCUCAAUCCCUGAAACUGUGCUAUCCAGCGUAAAGGCCACCCCGUGCACUCCGACUAAUAUCACGGCACAGCUAGGGAAGAAUAGCUAGGUCAGCAGCAGAGCCAGCCUCCAGGACAGCACCAGCACUGCGCAGUGCACCACACGCCCUUCAACAGUGUCCGGGACGCAAGCUGACCAGGAGUUCUGCAGCUGAGAAAGGAGUCCAAGGCUGGGAAGGGGGAGAGGUGGCCUAACAGAAAUACCACCUGAGCUACCUAAAAACGACAGAAGAGAAGUUGAAGGAGGAACAUGAAGGCCAAACAGCUCUUAGCCUCAGGCACACAAGAGGCAAGCCUCAGGCACACAAGAGGCAAGAACCACGGAAAAAACACAGGGCAACCUAGUGUAAACCGGGUGUUGAUGAGGAUUUAAGGCUCUGCAGAGGGGCGGUUCUCGUCUGUCUGGGGAAGGAAGAGAAGCUCCAGGUGACAAAGCGCACUCUGCACUCUGUCUCUGGGCAAUGCAGCUUGGAGAGCUGCUGCACUUACCUGCGGGGGCUAUGCUGGUCUCUAUUUCUGGAGCAGUCUGAGGUGAGGCCAAGGUAGAAGGGGGUUUCUUGGCAGCAUCUCCAACGGCUUCAUCGUUCACUUCAUCCUCUUUUUGCAAGGUUUCCAUUCCUUCUGCCUCUUCUUCCUCCUCUUCUUCUGGCUCAGAGUUCUCCUCCUGGGAGUUCUCUUCCUCAGACUCACCCUCCUGACUCAUCCUCCUUUCAGAUGCCAGCCAAGUCAGUUUCUCCAUUGUUUCCUAAAAGCACCAUUUUGUUGAGGUUUUGUCUGCUGCUAUGCAUGGAAUGAUAAAAUGUGUACCAGAAGGUCUACUUAUGAGUGAUUUCUCCUGCAUGCCAUCUUUUGUUGUGCAAACCUUGUUCCUUAAUUUAAAGAUACUGGUUGAAUAAAAAUGGCUACAACCAUUAGCAGAGGGAUUAGACAUGGGCAGGCUUUUUAGUUACCUGCUGGUGCAUGGCAGAAAAGCCAAGACAAAGAAAAUGAGGAAGAGGAGAGAGGAGCGGAACCAUGAGCACACGGCCAAGAGAAACAGCAAGUCUUUGGGGAACACCGCGGGGCAGGCAGCCAGGCCAGCAGGUAGGAAAGUAGAUUGGGGGGGACCCCAGUAAUUAUCAAAGCCAAAUACACUAAACAAAGUCUGGGUCUCACUCUUUUGUAAGGAAGUCAGGAUUGGAUUAAACUGGUUGUACUACACCGAAAAUGUUUCCAAGGGCUCCUUGCAGCUCCCAGAAGCUGAAGUACAGCAGCAGCAGCAUAAGGCACAGAGGCAGAGCAGGGCCAACACUGAGAACCAGAGAAGCCUGAGGUCCUGAGGACAGCUUUGCUUAGCAACUUUUUUAAGUACACGUGCUACAUUGCUUUGCUUUGGUUCGGUUCGGUUCGGUUCGCUUCGGUUUGGUUUGGUUUUUCAAGACAAGAUUACUUUGGCUGUCCUGGAACUCACUCUUUGGUUUGGUUUGGUUUGGUUUGGUUUGGUUUGGUUUGGUUUUUCAAGACAAGAUUACUUUGGCUGUCCUGGAACUCACUCUAAAGACCAGGCUGGCCUGGAACAGAGAUCUGCCUGCCUUUGCCUCACAAGUGCUGGGACUUGAUGUGCAACACCAUACCCGACAGUACACUAGCUCUACUGUUUAGCUAUUCCUCAAUUCUUAUGACUAUUUAAAAUUAUUUUUAAUUAUUACUGUAUAAUUUUAAAGUUUUGCCUGUGUGUAGAUCUGUGCACCACAUGCCUGCAAAAGGCAUCAAAUUCCCUUCAACGGAGUUACUAUGGGUCGUGAGCAGCCAUGUGGGUGCUGAGACUUAAGCCUACAUGUGCUGGAAGAACAAGUGACCCUAACUGAAGAACCAUCUCUCCGGGAUUUAUGGGCUAUUCUUUUUAAAGUCACACUUGCUGAUGGCUGUGCUGUGUACAAGCCCCGAGGAACAUGUAUGCCAUGGCACUCGGGACGGGUCCCUGGAAAAUUCAUGAUAGUCAGUCUCUUUAUUACGAUGUGCUACUUGAGUGAGCAACAGAUAACCUCACCCGUAGCCUCGUUGCCAUGAAGGGUUUUUGCUUGCUUCUUUAUUUGUUUUUGUGGCAUGUAAUGUAUGUUCUAGGCAGUCAGUGAGGCGACUCAACAGGUAUAGACACCUGCUGUCCAGUCUGACCACAGAGCUCAGCUCCUGGGACCCACAUGAUGGAAGGAAAUAGCCACGUGUCCUGGUCCUCUGACCUCUGCAUAUGUCAUCGCAAGGACUCACCUACAAAUUAAUGAAUGGCAUAAAACAUUUAAAAAAAAAUUAAGUGUGCUCAAGUAAUUCAAAUUAACACUUCAAUGAGUUCAAUUCAAAGAACAUGUCCCCUAUACACAGCAAUUCACACAGAGGUCAAAACUAUGUUCCACAGAUACUCAAAAGUCAAGUAAGGGUUUAUGGCUAUAAUGUAAUAGAGUAAGCAUUGUACCAAGUCCCCAUUCUACUUGGAGCCGCGCUGGCCCUUACCUGGAGCUCUGGGACAGAGAGCACAGACUCCUCAGAAGCUGAUGACAGUUCAUCUUCUUCAUCUUGGGUGAGGUCAUCAAAGUCCUCCUCCUCCUCUUCCUCAGGCCCGUCCUUCUCCCCUCCAGUGUCUGGUCCUGCUGGGGUUCCCACAGACUGGCCGUCAGCAUUGGCCGAGUCCUCAAGCUUCCCUGGAGGACCGCUCAGCCCCCCGCCCUGGCCCAUGGAGGACAGAGUGCUUUUUGGCAGUCCUCUGCUUGCAUGACUACUUGUUCGUCCCUCAGCAGCAGCGUCUUGGGGCACAGAAGGGGAUUUGGCGGCCUGCGUGUCUUCCCUCUGCAGGACUGUCUGUUUGCUCAUCUCACUGGCACUACUCGGCUUCUCCUGUGGGGACUCACUGUCUAAUUCCAUAGAGCGUUCCUCUUUCACUUCCUCCCCAAUGUCCUGCUUGGGAAGGUUGCUGGAGAUUUCCACCAUGCAAUCUUCAGCUUCCAUCUUGACCAUAUUUAAUAAAUCCUUCGAUGGAGAGCUCAGAGAGUCCUGGAGAUUCUGAGGCAAUGGCUCCACAGCAUGCCCACCAUCUUCUGUUUUCACAACCGUCCAGCCACAGGCACUCUUUUCAGAAGAGCCUUCCUGGCUUUCUGUUUUGACAACAGCCCAGCUGCAGGUACUGGAUUCAGAGAAUGCUUCCUGGCUUCCCGUAUCUGCUGAAGAAUGCCAGGACUUGGGCUCCUCUUUGGAGAAGACAGUGGUACAGAGAGGAGUUAGCUCCUGGGGUUUUAAUUUGGACUCAGGGUUCUGAGGAGCAUUUUUCCCUUCAGCAACAUCCAACUUCACUUGGGCCUUAUCUUCAGGAAUAGAUGUCACAGGAAGAGUCAGAGGAUUGCUGGAAACAAUUAGGGGGGAGAUGGAGGAGGCCACAAGGGGCUGGUUUAAUGAACAGGGGAAAGUAGUGGGGUUAACAAGGAAAGUGGUGAUAGGAAUGGUCUGGGGACUUGGUGCCACAGCUGCAGUAACAGGCUGGAUCAUGUUACAGCCACCACCAAGGCUCACAACCUUUACUGUAGUGGCAGGAACUGUGAAGAUGACGGGUUUCAGGUGGAUGACGGGAGCAGGCUUCACACAGGGGGACGCCUUGGCUCCUUUUCUUCUUGUGGGCUUCCACCUCACAUAUGGCUUUCGAAAUUCAGAAGGGGCCAGAGAGGGCAGCAUUAACUUGGGUGCAGAGCAAGAAGGAGGUGCUGACUGAGUCUCAGACAAGGGGAAGCUGGUCCUGGCUUCAGACCCACAAGGCGUAGCAGGCAGUGAUGUUGGAGACUCAAAACCAUCUUCUCCACGAACCCCCACUGAAGGGAACCCUGGAAGUGUCUGUAAGACAGCGGCUGGCUGGAUCAGAUGAGGAAUCUGGACCACUGUGUUGCUUGGAGGAACUUCUGACUGAGUUGGCCACGUUGCCAUUUUCCCAGGGUUGAACACAGGCUGAACAGAGGGGCUGGGUUGGAUAAGGAGGGGCUUCUGGACCAAUGGCCACUUCUGUGGCCAAGCCUUUCUGGAGAAAGGCUUGGAAUCGGGCUUCAGUUUGAGCACCACACCCUUGGGUAGCAGCAGUGGGUACUGAGGUUCAUCUCCCAGGGCAGAGCUGGCUUUCUGUAAGUGCUGAUCGGUGCUGCUCUCAGUGGCUGUGGUCACACUUCCUCCCUCUGUAGCGCCUUCGGAUAUGUUCCGCAGUUCAUCCUGAAUGGACUGUAGACUGGCCUGCAGGACAAGAACACUCUGCUCUAGAACACAGCAGACGUUAAGGGAAAGGAAAACUUAGCUUUCUGGAUUCUGAGCACUACUGAAAGGGAGCCGCAACAUAUGGUUCCAAGACGGGUAUUUCUCUGCAUCAAUUUUCUAACACAAGAACAUUUCAAUUCUAUAAACUCGUCCAGAAUUUACAUUGGGAAAUUAUCAUGUAACUCCUACAGGAGCUGUCAGUGACUUUUGCCUCACACAGAUUUUGAAGGAAGGCCUGACCUUUAACCAGAAUGGAAGCCGGUGUUCUUCCUUCUCAAAAGGUGGCUUCCACUGAUGUGGCUGGAUCUCUUCACAGCACCUCACCAGAACUGGCAGCUGUUUGGUCUUCUUAUAAAACUAAACAUGAAAACACAGAGUAUAA
rnacentral:lncRNA from 1 species